GUCGCUCCUCCCGCACAGCCGCACUCGCGCCGCCCCCUUCCUCUUCCUCCCGCCUCACCUCUCUCUCUCCUUCCAAACCCUAGGCCCGAGCCCGCCAUCGCUGCUUUGCCCUCCCUCUCUCCGACCCGACCCGCCACCCUCCUCUGCACCUUCGCCACCGGCCAUGUCCGCCCCCACCAGCAGCUUGGCCCGGCACCGAGCGACGCCGAGAGCUAGCCGCAUCGGGCGGUGUUGGCGCCGACGGCGCCGUCCGCGUCCACGCGCCUCUGUCGUCUCCUUCCUUCCCCCGGCUGGCCGCAUCCAUAUCCUCUCUGUCGCCGUCCGACCCAGAUGCGGCCGCAGUCCGCCGGCGCCGCAGGCGGAGGAGAGUAGAGAGGCGCCGCGGGUCAACGGCGUCAGGUGCGUCGGCGCCACGCGGCUCGACUGCCGCAACGGCACCAACACCUUCGUGCUAAUUACGCGCGGCAAGGUCCCCGACAUGACGGCCGCCGUGGUGGACUUUCGUGCCAUCCUCGCGGACUGCGCGCAGAGGUGCCUGGGUGGCUGCUCGUGCACGGCGUACGCCAGCGCCAAGCUCAGUGGCGUGCCAUGGACCAGCACACUCGAGGUCCUCCGCGUGUUCCCCAACUUCAGCCGGGACCUGUAUGUGCGCCUUGCCGCUUCUCAUCUUGGAGGGUCACGGCCAAUGCUCUCCCCGAUCUAACUACACGACCAGCCAAAUGAUAUGCCGUGGAUUCACUGUCCAGUUUGUCAGUCUGGGUUCAUAAGGUUGUUUGAUGCGUUUGUGCUCGUCGGCGGGACGGUGCAAGGCGCAACUCCGACGCGGUUCCUCGCCGGUUGGACGGCGUUCAGGCGCAACCCCGGCGCGCACUGAGUAUUGCCUCGGCUACAACCUCCCUCGGUGAACUCCAUCUUCCUCCUGCUCCUCUGCUUUGGCUACUGUAUCCAGAAACAUGAGACGGAUCGAAACCUGAGCGUUCUCAGCGAUUAGAGCAUUCUGGCCGUCCGAUCGUUUCCUUGAUGCUGUUCUGGCCGUUGGAUCUCGGGCUCGGUCGCUGUGGGCCGUCAGAUAUUUACCCGAUCGUCUCCAACCGUCGGAUAUUUUCCCCUGUGAGCGGUGUCCCGCCCGGCCGUGCCAACGCGCGUUAUUUGGGUGCCCCCCGAGGGUAUUCUCAUCAUUUCGCUUUGUCUGUGGCGGUGGCGUUCGUGCUAGGGCGAUGAUGAUUAACUGUGGCUGAAAUAAGUUUGCCUUUGAGCAAUCGAGGCACCUGUGGGGUAUCAAGUUGGGUCCUCCCUGUUGUCUCUGGAAUCCUUUUUGAUCCUGUGAUACCUAUUGAUCUGUCCUUGGAUGGUCAUUCUUGUUGAUUGAUAACCAGGGCAGCUCCAUUGUAUAAACAGAUUGAUCUGGUGAUAAGAGAUGAUGGGGGUAGGUUAUAUGAUCGAGGAAAGGCGAAUCUGAGCCCACUAUGCAAUGAACAUCAAACCCUUUUUAUUUGUGUUUAAAGGCGUUGCUUACUUAUGCUCCAGUGUUUAUAGCCGUCUUAUGUAAAGAUUUAUUCUCUCUUAUAACUUUAUUGCAUAAGUUGUUCUUGAUCUUUUAUUGUUUGUUGUUGGUCCUUGAUUUAGUCUGGUUAGGAUUUCUUCUCUGUCUUAUGUAAAGAUUUCUUCUCUCUCAUACCAAUGUUUUGUCCAUGUAGUAACAGAUAUAUAUUUCAAGCAUGACAUGAAUAAACCUGAAUGGUCUUUGAGAUGAGAUGCAUGGUUGUACAAUAUUGGGUACUAAGUUAGAGAUCGGCUGUCCCUAUGAAUGCAAACUAUUGUUAGCUAUAAAUAUGUUUGCCUCCUACAGUGUUUGGCCUAAUUAGUUAUUGGGUUGAUUUUGGUAGUUCUACUUUUUUGCUGCCAACAAUCUGCAAGUUAAUGUUCAGGGUGUGCUUUGGCCUUGGGAUUCUUUACUGUUUUUAUUCUAGAUGUGGUGGUCUUAUUAGUCAGAUCAACAUUUCUUUUAUCGGGCUUUACAUGGCUAAUAUGCAUAUCCGGUAGAACAGAGUCUGCUCAUGCAUUCUUAUGCUAUUUUCACGUGUGUUUAUCUGUCUUGUGUUCAGCUGGUUUCCCUUCAGUCAGUUCAUUGCAUGAAACAAGCACUAUAGCUGACAUGUAACUCGAGUGCCUGACAUGUAACUUGAGUAUUCAGUGCAUAUAGUUUGUGCCUUUGUGUAUGCACAUUUUUCUUUCUUUCUUAGAAAGCUGCUAUUUUCAUUUAUUUGGAGAACACCUCUGAAUUUUUAUUGCACAUGAAACGAGUCGCUGUCACUACCCAGCACAUGAGUACUCAAUGUGUGUAUUUUGAGGUCUACGUCUUCAAAAGAAAUUUGACUAUUUAUUAUAUGGGGAACUAUAGUUAGUAGCGUGUAACUAGACUCCUAUUUGGAGCAAUGGCAUCGUUGAUACUGGUCUCUGAUUUAUGAUUUGAUCCACCGCCCCUCCAGCCUGCCCCUCCAGUACCGCGGGUUUUUUUUUUGCAUGAGGUUUCUGGAUAAUUUGCAGUUCGGUCGGUGCCGUGGCGGAGGGUUGUCUUGUGGUUUGACCGGAGAGGGAGCACACCAGAGGAGCGAUCUCGUCCCCAUUGGUCAGAUUAUCCAACCCCCUCUGCUUCUGUACAAUUUUGUCGACUUAUCUGGCAUUUUCUCGGCCGUGUGGAACCAGCACAUUUACCUGCGAAUCUCCAGGCUAUGGUACCAGCGGGGUGGCUUCGAUGAUGGCCCUGUCAAGAGUAUACAUAUGGUCAUGACCGACGAAAGGGAAAUCAUGCCAACGGGACGGUGCCUAAUGAGGUCAUAGACAUGUUUGUGGACACUUUGAAUGAGAGAAAUUUAUACAAGCGUGCCAGGAUCUAUGUGAGGCAGUGGAAGGCACGUAUACGUUAUGGUUCACUAGAUCAACAAUUGUCCAUCACCUUGAGGGUGUUCCAUUUGGUCAUGUCUAUUAACAUGCUUAGUUGCUUCUUCUUUAUUAUGUUUCUGCUCCAAUAACUUUCUCAUAUUAUAUCACUUUUGUUAUUAACCAUCGUAUCGAAUGGCUGCGCUUUUGGUUUUGAGGUUCCUGUCGAGUGACUUUUUUUUAAUCUAAUGAACGAGCUGAGAUCAA